ensembl:rRNA 5S_rRNA 5S ribosomal RNA
ACUCAUUUCCAAAGUUGCUUUAUUUUCAUGCCAGAUCCUGUCUGAUCUCAGAAGCUAAGCAGGGUCGGGCCUAGUUAGUACUUGGAUGGGAGACCACCUAGGAAGACUGGGUGCUGUAGGCA